AGCACUGUACAUUUCUCCCUUUUGAAUUUAUUUCUGUAGUUUUGGCCCAGCUCUCUGUUAAGGUCAAUUUGGAUCUGAUCCUGUCCUCUGUAAUAUUUGCUUUCUCUCCCAAUUUGGUGUCACCAGCAACUUUGAUGUAUGACUUCUAUUCUGUCGUCCAAAUCAUAAAUACGUUGAAUAGCCCUAGGCCUAGGACAACCUUGAGGCACUCCAAUGAUCGCUUCCCUCCAGGAUGAAGAGGACUGAAUAUCUGCACAGUUCUGCUUUAAGAGAUUAGCUAGCAGAAAUGUGAUGAAAUGCUUCUAAACAAAGGGUGGAGGUCUGUUUUCUGGGCUCAUGCAGGUGAAACAGGAGAAAACGCUGCUAGAACACAGCCACAUAGCUCAGAAAACACACAACACCCCAGUGAUUCUGGCCGUGAAAGCCUUCAACAAUACAUAUAAAUGGUGCUUUAAUAUUAUACUACUCCUUGGUACUGAAGCAUAGUAUAUGGGCUAUCAUUGUAGCGAGGAAAUUACAACUCAAAACUUCACUGCUUACUGCUACUUUAUAUCUAGACUAGCCUCUCUGAUUGGGAGCUGGCACAGUGUUCUCAUAAUGCCAGUAAUGGCCCUGCAUCACAACUCAAUGGGUGAACAAGGGGUAGUUUGGAUAAACCUGUCCCCUGCCUGUGAGGACUUGGUGGGAGACAACUUGUCAUGGCACAAGUAGCAGAAUAGAUUCUGCAAGACAAGGCACUAGCGUCUAAACACCUCCAGAUGCUAGAUCACAGCAACCAGAGAUAAGGAGACCUUGAAAUGCAAAAUGAUUGGUGGGCGCCACCGCUUGAAGUCUUUGACUGACUACGUGGAAUCAGAGAGCUCUUUGGAAGAGGCAAUUGACAGGAGCAAAAGAACACCUGAACUGAGAAGAGAUGAAUGGUGGAGAGAGUCCAUGAGGGUAUGUAUAAUUGUUCGUUUAAUUAUUAACUUAGCAUCAGAAAAGAAGAAACAAUACAGUGACCAAUUUGUGGAGGUGGUGCACAGUUGUAGAGUAUGACAUUCAAUUCUGAUUUAAAAUGAAAAGGAAAGGAGGAAAAGGAAUCUAGUGGCACAUUUAAGGCUGAAUUAUUUUAGCAUCGAUUUUUGUAGAUUUCAGCCCACUUCACAUACAUUGUUGGAAUGCAAAAUUCAAGCCACAGAUAUUUAAAUACAGUUGCAUCGUUAUACAGGUGGAAUCAGAGUGUAAUACAAAAGGAUGCAAUGUGUGAACUUGUUCAGAGUUGUGCAAGUCUGCUAAGCAGGUGGUCAGUUAGACCUGAAGUGUCAACAUGACAUAUAAAGAAAUAAAGAUUAUUAUUAUUAUCGUUGCUGCUGCUGUUGUUGUUGUAGGUAUUUUCAUAUAGUACAAAGUAAAGGUAAAGGUUUUCCCUUGACAUUAAGUCUAGUCAUGUCCGACUCUGGGGGUUGGUGCUCAUCUCCAUUUCUAAGCUGAAAAGCCUGCGUUGUCCAUAGACACCUCCAAGGUCAUGUGGCCAGAAUGACUGCAUGGAGCACCGUCACCUUCCUGCCAGAGCAGUACCUAUUGUUCUACCCAUAUUUGCAUGUUUUCAAACUGCUAGAUUGGCAGAAGCUGGGGCUAACAGAGGGAGCUCACUCCUCUCCCCAGAUUCGAACCGCCAGCCUUUCAGUCAGCAAGUUCAGCAGCUCAGUGGUUUAAUCCACUGCACCACCAGGAACUCCUUUAAAUGCACACACAUAUAGUACAUGUGUUGAGUGAUUUCAGCUAUCCACUAAGAACAUGGCUUUAGAGCCUGAUGUGCUUUGCUAUUCCAAAGAUCCACAUGUCUUUGUGGAUAUAUCUAACUACAAGCCUAAUUUUAUUUUUAAAAAUAUCCAGGAUUUGCAUAACUGGUUUCCUUCACAUUUUGUGCUAAAAUAUAG
ensembl:lncRNA